rnacentral:rRNA from 1 species
GAUGAACGCUGGCGGCGUGCUUAACACAUGCAAGUCGAACGGAAAGGCCCAAGCUUGCUUGGGUACUCGAGUGGCGAACGGGUGAGUAACACGUGGGUGAUCUGCCCUGCACUUCGGGAUAAGCCUGGGAAACUGGGUCUAAUACCGGAUAGGACCACUCCGUAGUUGUUGUGGUGGAAAGUUUUUGCGGUGUGGGAUGAGCUCGCGGCCUAUCAGCUUGUUGGUGGGGUAAUGGCCGACCAAGGCGUCGACGGGUAGCCGGCCUGAGAGGGUGUACGGCCACAUUGGGACUGGGAUACGGACCAGACUACUACGGGAGGCAGCAGUGAGGAAUAUUGAACAAUGGGCGGAAGCCUGAUGCAGCGACGCCGCGUGGGGGAUGACGGCCUUCGGGUUGUAAACUCCUUUCGCCAAAGACGAAUUUAGGACGGUAUUUGGAGAAGAAGCACCGGCUAACUACGUG